rnacentral:rRNA from 1 species
CAAUAGCGUAUAUUAAAGUUGUUGCAGUUAAAAAGCUCGUAGUUGGAUUUCUGGUGAGAUGGAUUAUGUCUAGGUCGAAAGAUCUUGUUCAUGGUUCGUUUUGCCCUUCUUGUCAGGAACCCGCUGAGAUUCGCGUCUUGUCGGUGGAAUGGCAUCGUUUACUGUGAAAAAAUUAGAGUGUUCAAAGCAGGCAUCGCCGUUGAAUACAUUAGCAUGGAAUAAUAAGAUAAGACUUUGGUGGUCUAUUUUGUUGGUUUGCACGCCAAAGUAAUGAUUAAUAGGGAUAGUUGGGGGUAGUCGUAUUCUAUUGCUAGAGGUGAAAUUCUUAAAUUUAUGGAAGACGAACUACUGCGAAAGCAUUUACCAAGGAUGUUUUCAUUAA